rnacentral:rRNA from 1 species
AGGAAUAUUGGUCAAUGGACGCAAGUCUGAACCAGCCAUGCCGCGUGCAGGAUGACGGCUCUAUGAGUUGUAAACUGCUUUUGUACGAGGGUAAACGCAGAUACGUGUAUCUGUCUGAAAGUAUCGUACGAAUAAGGAUCGGCUAACUCCGUGCCAGCAGCCGCGGUAAUACGGAGGAUUCAAGCGUUAUCCGGAUUUAUUGGGUUUAAAGGGUGCGUAGGCGGUUUGAUAAGUUAGAGGUGAAAUACCGGUGCUUAACACCGGAACUGCCUCUAAUACUGUUGAGCUAGAGAGUAGUUGCGGUAGGCGGAAUGUAUGGUGUAGCGGUGAAAUGCUUAGAGAUCAUACAGAACACCGAUUGCGAAGGCAGCUUACCAAACUAUAUCUGACGUUGAGGCACGAAAGCGUGGGGAGCAAACAGGAUUAGAUACCCUGGUAGUCCACGCAGUAAACGAUGAUAACUCGUUGUCGGCGAUACACAGUCGGUGACUAAGCGAAAGCGAUAAGUUAUCCACCUGGGGAGUACGUUCGCAAGAAUGAAACUCAAAGGAAUUGACGGGGGCCCGCACAAGCGGAGGAACAUGUGGUUUAAUUCGAUGAUACGCGAGGAACCUUACCCGGGCUUGAAAGUUAGCGACGAUUCUUGAAAGAGGAUUUCCCUUCGGGGCGCGAAACUAGGUGCUGCAUGGUUGUCGUCAGCUCGUGCCGUGAGGUGUCGGGUUAAGUCCCAUAACAAGCGCAACCCCUACCGUUAGUUGCCAUCAGGUCAAGCUGGGCACUCUGGCGGGACUGCCGGUGUAAGCCGAGAGGAAGGUGGGGAUGACGUCAAAUCAGCACGGCCCUUACGUCCGGGGCUACACACGUGUUACAAUGGUAGGUACAGAGGGCAGCUACCCAGCGAUGGGAUGCGAAUCUCGAAAGCCUAUCUCAGUUCGGAUUGGAGGCUGAAACCCGCCUCCAUGAAGUUGGAUUCGCUAGUAAUCGCGCAUCAGCCAUGGCGCGGUGAAUACGUUCCCG